AUCAGCUUGUCCCUUUAAAAUUGUAAUAUUCCACGUAAAACUUUCUACUGAUUUUUGCAGUUUUCUUUCUUUUAAGCCUUCUCUCGCUCCUAUAUUGUGCAGGUUUUCAUGAAACUCCAUUGCUGCUUUCUGACAUUGGACUAUCUUAUCAUAUAAGCUAUCUGCGUUUUCAACUAGAGUCCGGAUGGUCUGAAUCAUCAUGUCAUACGCUGUUACAAUCC
rnacentral:lncRNA from 1 species